GAUGAACGCUGGCGGCGUGCUUAACACAUGCAAGUCGAACGGAAAGGCUCCUGCUUGCAGGGGUACUCGAGUUGCGAACGGGUGAGUAACACGUGGGUGAUCUGCCCUGCACUUCGGGAUAAGCCUGGGAAACUGGGUCUAAUACCGGAUAGGACGAUGGUUUGGAUGCCAUUGUGGAAAGUUUUUCGGUGUGGGAUGAGCUCGGGGCCUAUCAGCUUGUUGGUGGGGUAAUGGCCUACCAAGGCGUGGACGGGUAGCCGGCCUGAGAGGGUGUACGGCCACAUUGGGACUGAGAUACGGCCCAGACUCCUACGGGAGGCAGCAGUGGGGAAUAUUGCACUAUGGGCGCAAGCCUGAUGCAGCGACGCCGCGUGGGGGAUGACGGCCUUCGGGUUGUAAACUACUUUCGCUAGGGACGAAGCGCAAGUGACGGUACCUGGAGAAGAAGCACCGGCUAACUACGUG
rnacentral:rRNA from 1 species